UACGAGGGGGGCAAAUGUUGUUCGGAAUCAUUGGGCGUAAAGCGCGUGUAGGCGGCUCGGUAAGUCCGCUCUGAAAGUCCAGGGCUCAACCCUGGGAUGCGGGUGGAUACUGCCGGGCUCGAGUCCGGAAGAGGCGAGUGGAAUUCCCGGUGUAGCGGUGAAAUGCGCAGAUAUCGGGAGGAACACCAAUGGCGAAGGCAGCUCGCUGGGACGUGACUGACGCUGAGACGCGAAAGCGUGGGGAGCAAACAGG
rnacentral:rRNA from 1 species